rnacentral:rRNA from 1 species
AUUGAACGCGGGCGGCAUGCCUUACACAUGCAAGUCGAACGGCAGCACGGGAGCAAUCGUGGUGGCGAGUGGCGAACGGGUGAGUAAUACAUCGGAACGUGCCCAAUCGUGGGGGAUAACGCAGCGAAAGCUGUGCUAAUACCGCAUACGAUCUACGGAUGAAAGCAGGGGAUCGCAAGACCUUGCGCGAAUGGAGCGGCCGAUGGCAGAUUAGGUAGUUGGUGAGGUAAAGGCUCACCAAGCCGUCGAUCUGUAGCUGGUCUGAGAGGACGACCAGCCACACUGGGACUGAGACACGGCCCAGACUCCUACGGGAGGCAGCAGUGGGGAAUUUUGGACAAUGGGCGAAAGCCUGAUCCAGCCAUGCCGCGUGCAGGAUGAAGGCCUUCGGGUUGUAAACUGCUUUUGUACGGAACGAAACGGCCUUUUCUGAUAAAGAGGGCUAAUGACGGUACCGUAAGAAUAAGCACCGGCUAACUACGUGCCAGCAGCCGCGGUAAUACGUAGGGUGCAAGCGUUAAUCGGAAUUACUGGGCGUAAAGCGUGCGCAGGCGGUUAUGUAAGACAGUUGUGAAAUCCCCGGGCUCAACCUGGGAACCGCAUCUGUGACUGCAUAGCUAGAGUACGGUAGAGGGGGAUGGAAUUCCGCGUGUAGCAGUGAAAUGCGUAGAUAUGCGGAGGAACACCGAUGGCGAAGGCAAUCCCCUGGACCUGUACUGACGCUCAUGCACGAAAGCGUGGGGAGCAAACAGG